CCUACGGGGGGCUGCAGUGGGGAAUUUUGGACAAUGGGGGCAACCCUGAUCCAGCCAUGCCGCGUGCGGGAAGAAGGCCUUCGGGUUGUAAACCGCUUUUAGUCGGGAAGAAAAGGCAGGGGCUAACACCUCUUGUUCUUGACGGUACCGGCGGAAUAAGCACCGGCUAACUACGUGCCAGCAGCCGCGGUAAUACGUAGGGUGCGAGCGUUAAUCGGAAUUACUGGGCGUAAAGCGUGCGCAGGCGGGAAAGCCCCGGGCUCAACCUGGGAAUGGCAUUGGAAACUGGCAAGCUCGAGUGCGGCAGAGGGGGGUGGAAUUCCGCGUGUAGCAGUGAAAUGCGUAGAGAUGCGGAGGAACACCGAUGGCGAAGGCAGCCCCCUGGGCCGACACUGACGCUCAGGCACGAAAGCGUGGGGAGCAAACAGGAUUAGAUACCCCUGUAGUC
rnacentral:rRNA from 1 species